UACAUUUGCAACCGCAUAUCAUAGUACAUAAUAAUCAUUAAAUAAUAUUGGAAUG
rfam:Capnocytophaga canimorsus Cc5, complete genome.